GCCCCCGUAGUACAAUGGAUAGUACGGCCGCCUCCUAAGUGGCAGAUCUUGGUUCGAUUCCGAGCGGGGGUG
rnacentral:tRNA from 2 species